rnacentral:rRNA from 1 species
UUGGGGCUUCUCGGGGAGUGGAUGUGGCGCACGGGUGCGUAACACGUGGGUAACCAACCCUUCAGCCUGGAAUAACGGUGGGAAACCACCGCUAAUACCGGAUGCGUCGGCCGGGUCUUCGGACCUGGUCGGGAAAGGCCAGCAACGGUCACUGAAGGACGGGCUCGCGGCCCAUCAGCUUGUUGGUGAGGUAACGGCUCACCAAGGCUAAGACGGGUAGCUGGUCUGAGAGGAUAAUCAGCCACACUGGAACUGAGACACGGUCCAGACUCCUACGGGAGGCAGCAGUGGGGAAUAUUGCGCAAUGGACGAAAGUCUGACGCAGCCACGCCGCGUGAGCGAUGAAGGCCCUCGGGUCGUAAAGCUCUGUGGAUGGAGAAGAAGAAAGGCUGUGAAGAGCAGCCCUUGACGGUAUCCAUUUAGCAAGCACCGGCUAACUCCGUGCCAGCAGCCGCGGUAAUACGGAGGGUGCAAACGUUGCUUGGAAUCAUUGGGCGUAAAGCGCGCGUAGGCGGCUUGGUAAGUUGGAUGUGAAAGCCCACGGCUCAACCGUGGAAGUGCAUCCAAAACUACCUGGCUUGAAUUGCGGAGGGGGCCAGAGAAUUCCCGGUGUAGAGGUGAAAUUCGUGGAUAUCGGGAGGAAUACCAG